rnacentral:rRNA from 1 species
AGCUCCAAUAGCGUAUAUUAAACUUGUUGCAGUUAAAAAGCUCGUAGUUGGAUCUCAGGUGCCGGCGGGCGGUGCGGCUUCUUCGGCCGUUAACUGCCCAACGUCCCUACCCCUCCCGGCUCUCUUCCAGCGGUUCUCUUCACUGAGCGCUGCUGGUGGCUGGGACGUUUACUUUGAAAAAAUUUAAGUGUUCAAAGCAGGAACGUGUAGCCCGAAAACUAGUGCAUGGAAUAAUGGAAUAGGACCCCCGUUCUAUUUUGCUGGCUAUCGGAACAGAGGUAAUGAUUAACAGGGACGGCCGGGGGCAUACGUAUUGCGGCGUUAGAGGUGAAAUUCUUGGAUCGCCGCAAGACGACCUACUGCGAAAGCAUUUGCCAAGAAUGUCUUCA